CUUCAUACAGAUAAGAACAAUAUGAUGAACCGUAAUCAGUAACGGCCUUGUUUUCAGGACAACAUUCAGCUACACGUAUGCCCCACAUACGACUGUCAUUUGAGAUUUGAACAGCUUACAAAACAGUAAUGAACAUCGCAAUUUUGAUGUUAGCGACAAUUGUCGGUGUCCAUUGUGGGGUUUUCUCGGAGAAGCGACAGACCCACUGCAGCACAUUCUGUCCGAUGUACAUCAUCGAGUUUUGUGGCUCUGAUGGCAAAACCUACAAUAGCAACCCCUGCUUCAUACAGUCCCGGAUGUGCAGCCAAGGCGUCAACGGCUAUGAGAAUUUCAAAGUGGUUCAUUACGGAGCGUGCAAGGAUGGGGAGUUAGCGACGGAGCUUCCGGAUGUCAUUACCACAACGGAAGACCUCACCAUCGGGUAGAGAGAUGUCGAUGAAAAUACAUGGCAUGAAAUGUGUGACCUUUACGUUUGAUAAAGCUGCCAUUUAAAAGAUUUGAUGUGUGCUCAUAUUUUGUUUCGACGAACCCAAAGAAUAACCAAUAGAUUCAUUCUUAUUGUGUUCUUAUUUACAUGGAUAUCAGGCUGAAGUUUUGUUAUAACAUUAAAAAGUUAAGCAAUUAUUGUUUAAUAUCUAUAGCGUUUGUUUGAUUCCAACGGUCUUGAUAUGUAUGUGUAUUACGAUACUUACAACUCGUUGAACAUAUUUUAAAAGUUUCUGAGUUGAACCGUUACACACGGUUACUUAAACAUUAGUUUACAAACAAGGUCGAUACUGGUGUGAACUAUCUGGAUAUAAAUUUAACUUUAACUUAAAGUGCUUCCAUGUUUUGUAAAAACAUUAAGAAUUGUGUAUUCAGAAAAAGGUCUCCGUAGGACCCGGUUUAAAAAAUGUUUUUUGCAACUUUUGUUCUUGCUAUUGUAAAUAGUUAAGCCGAUGAAACUGUUUAAAUAUGUUAAAAAAACUUAAUUAAUGAGAUUUUUCAAAGAUACAAAAAUCUUCGAACAAGUCACUUUAAACUGUUACAUGAGCAGAACCCUGAUCACGCUCACCUUACCUUAUCAUUGCGUUGAAACUAGUACAUGUUAUUGACGAAUGCCAUUUAAACAUAAUCGGAACACGGUUCAAUUUCUUAUGUGGUUCACAAUAAGAUUGGCAAACAACAUGAAGUUGGUUAUUUUAUUGUUGGUCGUUUUAACAUACGUCUACUGUGGCGUUGUACCCGAGAAGCGGCAGUUUGUAGAUCCACAUCACUGCGGAAACAUUUGCCCGAUGUACGUCGUCACUUUCUGCGGCUCGGACGGCAAAACCUACACCAGCAACACUUGUUUCGUUAGGUCAACCAUGUGCCGACAAGGCAUCAGCGAUUACGAGAGUUUCUCCACACGCCACAUGGGGCCUUGCACAGAGGGCGACAAGCCGACAACCGAGAUACGCCUUCGACCACGACUGAGGAACUCACUAUCGGAUAGCACAUGUUGUCUUCUGAGCGAUUUAGAAUCGACUUAUAUAGUCAACGUGUUCUGUAAUCUUGAUUUGAAAUAAUCCUGUUACAAUGUCA